AACGAACGCUAGCGGCAUGCCUCAAACAUGCAAGUCGAACGCGAAAGGGACUUCGGUCCUGAGUAGAGUGGCGCACGGGUGCGUAACACGUAGCUAAUGUACCUCCUCGCUGGGGAUAACUUCGGGAAACCGAAGCUAAUACCGAAUGAUCUGUAGUGGUCUGCGGACUGCUACGGUAAAGCCUUCGGGCGCGAGGAGAUCAGGCUGCGUCCCAUUAGCUAGUUGGCGGGGUAAUGGCCCACCAAGGCUACGAUGGGUAGCUGGUCUGAGAGGAUGAUCAGCCACACUGGAACUGAAACACGGUCCAGACUCCCACGGGAGGCAGCAGUUGGGAAUAUUGGACAAUGGGGGCAACCCUGAUCCAGCAAUGCCGCGUGAGUGAUGAAGGCUUUCGGGUCGUAAAGCUCUUUAAGCAGGGACGAAGGGAAACUUGACGGUACCUGCAGAAUAAGCACCGGCUAACUCUGUGCCAGCAGCCGCGGUAAUACAGAGGGUGCAAGCGUUGUUCGGAAUCAUUGGGCGUAAAGCGCGUGUAGGCGGUCUUCUAAGUCUGGUGUGAAAGCCCAGGGCUUAACCCUGGAAGUGCACUGGAUACUGGAAGGCUAGAGGGCGAGAGGGGGAAGCGGAAUUCUUGGUGUAGGGGUGAAAUCCGUAGAUAUCAAGAGGAACAUCGGUGGCGAAGGCGGCUUCCUGGCUCGUUUCUGACGCUCAGACGCGAAAGCGUGGGUAGCAAACAGGAUUAGAUACCCUGGUAGUCCACGCCCUAAACGAUGGAUACUAGUUGUCGGGUUCCCUAAUAGACUCGGUAACGCAGCUAACGCAUUAAGUAUCCCGCCUGGGGAUUACGGUCGCAAGAUUAAAACUCAAAGGAAUUGACGGGGGCCCGCACAAGCGGUGGAGCAUGUGGUUUAAUUCGAUGCUACGCGAAAAACCUUACCUGGACUUGACAUGCCACGCUACCCUAGGAAACUAGGGGUUCCCUUACGGGACGUGGACACAGGUGCUGCAUGGCUGUCGUCAGCUCGUGUUGUGAGAUGUUGGGUUAAGUCCCGCAACGAGCGCAACCCUCGUCGUUAGUUACCAUCAUUAAGUUGGGCACUCUAACGAGACCGCUAGGCUAUAAGCCAGAGGAAGGUGGGGAUGACGUCAAGUCCUCAUGGCCUUUAUGUCCAGGGCUACACACGUGCUACAAUACAGAGUACAAAGCGCAGCUACUUUGCGAAAAGAUGCUAAUCGCAAAAAAACUCUGUUCAGUUCGGAUUGGAGUCUGCAACUCGACUCCAUGAAGCUGGAAUCGCUAGUAAUCGCGGAUCAGAACGCCGCGGUGAAUACGUUCCCGGGCCUUGUACACACCGCCCGUCACACCAUGGGAGUUUGUUGUACCGGAAAACGUUGAGCUAACCUUCGGGAGGCAGACGUUUAUGGUACGGCCGAUGACUGGGGUG
rnacentral:rRNA from 1 species